rnacentral:rRNA from 1 species
AGUGAACGCUGGCGGUAGGCCUAACACAUGCAAGUCGAACGGCAGCACAGUAAGAGCUUGCUCUUACGGGUGGCGAGUGGCGGACGGGUGAGGAAUACAUCGGAAUCUACUUUUUCUUGGGGGAUUACGUAGGGAAACUUCCGCUAAUACCGCAUACGUCCUACGGGUGAAAGCAGGAGAUCUUCGGACCUUGCGCGAUUGUAUGAGCCGAUGUCGGAUUAGCUAGUUGGCGGGGUAAAGGCCCACCAAGGCGACGAUCCGUAGCUGGUCUGAGAGGAUGAUCAGCCACACUGGAACUGAGACACGGUCCAGACUCCUACGGGAGGCAGCAGUGGGGAAUAUUGGACAAUGGGCGCAAGCCUGAUCCAGCCAUACCGCGUGGGUGAAGAAGGCCUUCGGGUUGUAAAGCCCUUUUGUUGGGAAAGAAAAGCAGCAGGUUAAUACCCCGCUGUUCUGACGGUACCCAAAGAAUAAGCACCGGCUAACUUCGUG